GAUGAACGCUGGCGGCGUGCCUAAUACAUGCAAGUCGAGCGAACAGACGAGGAGCUUGCUCCUCUGACGUUAGCGGCGGACGGGUGAGUAACACGUGGAUAACCUACCUAUAAGACUGGGAUAACUUCGGGAAACCGGAGCUAAUACCGGAUAAUAUAUUGAACCGCAUGGUUCAAUAGUGAAAGACGGUUUUGCUGUCACUUAUAGAUGUAUCCGCGCCGCAUUAGCUAGUUGGUAAGGUAACGGCUUACCAAGGCAACGAUGCGUAGCCGACCUGAGAGGGUGAUCGGCCACACUGGAACUGAGACACGGUCCAGACUCCUGCGGGAGGCAGCAGUAGGGAAUCUUCCGCAAUGGGCGAAAGCCUGACGGAGCAACGCCGCGUGAGUGAUGAAGGUCUUCGGAUCGUAAAACUCUGUUAUUAGGGAAGAACAAAUGUGUAAGUAACUAUGCACGUCUUGACGGUACCUAAUCAGAAAGCCACGGCUAACUACGUG
rnacentral:rRNA from 1 species